UACGUAGGGAGCAAGCGUUGUCCGGAAUCAUUGGGCGUAAAGCGCGCGUAGGUGGCUUCGUAAGUCCGUUGUGAAAGUCAAAGGCUCAACCUUUGAAAGCCGAUGGAUACUGUGGAGCUAGAGUACGGAAGAGGCGAGUGGAAUUCCUAGUGUAGCGGUGGAAUGCGCAGAUAUCAGGAGGAACACCAAUAGCGAAGGCAGCUCGCUGGGACGUUACUGACACUGAGGCGCGAAAGCGUGGGGAGCGAACAGG
rnacentral:rRNA from 1 species